ensembl:miRNA
GGGUGGGGGCCCUCGUCUUACCCAGCAGUGUUUGGGUGCGGUUGGGAGUCUCUAAUACUGCCGGGUAAUGAUGGAGGCCCC